rnacentral:misc_RNA from 1 species
CACUGGAGGCUUUGGUGGUGUUGGUGGGAAAAUGAUUGGUGGUUUUGGAAAAUGUGGUGGCUUUACAACCGGAGGUUUGGGUACAAAAGGUGGCGGCUUUACUAUAGGAGGUUUUGGUACGUAGGGUGGAUGCACAAUUGGGGGUUUGGGUGUGAUUGGUGGUUUAGGCUCAUGGGGAGGUUUGGGUCUGGUUGGUGGUUUCACAAUGGGUG